CCCGGGUCUUGUACACACCGCCCGUCACACCAUGGGAGCGGGUUCUGCCAGAAGUAGUUAGCCUAACCGCAAGGAGGGCGAUUACCCCGGCAGGGUUCGUGACUGGGGUG
rnacentral:rRNA from 1 species